rnacentral:rRNA from 1 species
AGUGAACGCUGGCGGUAGGCCUAACACAUGCAAGUCGAACGGCAGCACAGUAAGAGCUUGCUCUUACGGGUGGCGAGUGGCGGACGGGUGAGGAAUACAUCGGAAUCUACUUUUUCGUGGGGGAUAGCGUAGGGAAACUUACGCUAAUACCGCAUACGACCUACGGGUGAAAGCAGGGGAUCUUCGGACCUUGCGCGAUUGAAUGAGCCGAUGUCGGAUUAGCUAGUUGGCGGGGUAAAGGCCCACCAAGGCGACGAUCCGUAGCUGGUCUGAGAGGAUGAUCAGCCACACUGGAACUGAGACACGGUCCAGACUCCUACGGGAGGCAGCAGUGGGGAAUAUUGGACAAUGGGCGCAAGCCUGAUCCAGCCAUACCGCGUGGGUGAAGAAGGCCUUCGGGUUGUAAAGCCCUUUGUUGGGAAAGAAAAGCAGCAGGUUAAUACCCCGCUGUUCUGACGGUACCCAAAGAAUAAGCACCGGCUAACUUCGUG